AUGCAUGAGUUAACUAAGGAAAACAUUGAGCGUAUGAAUGCUAAAUAUAAACUUGCUGGAGAUAAGGGUAGAAAACAUGUUGUGUUUGCACCUGGAGAUCUUGUUUGGUUACAUUUGCGUAAGGAUAGAUUUCCUGAUUUGCGCAAAUCAAAGCUAAUGCCACGUGCUGAUGGUCCUUUUAAGGUGUUAGAGAAAAUAAAUGAUAAUGCAUAUAAACUUGAGCUGCCUGCAGAUUUUGGGGUUAGUCCCAUUUUUAAUAUUGCAGAUUUGAAGCCUUAUUUGGGUGAGGAAGAUGAGCUUCCGUCGAGGACGACUUCAUUUCAAGAAGGGGAGGAUGAUGAGGACAUCAAUACAAUUAUUACACCCACAGUCCCUGCUGCUAUACAUACUGGACCAAUUACUAGAGCUCGCGCACGCCAAUUAAAUUACCAGGAAACAGACCCUCGUGGUCAGGUUGAUCGUGCUCCGGCGUGGUCGAUAACCUCUCGGAGUUGGUUUAGCGAUUGCUAA
rnacentral:rRNA from 1 species